rnacentral:misc_RNA from 13 species
CUUUGGAGACUACCCAGCAGAAUACAACCCGAAAGUUCAUGGGCCGUACGAUCCAGCCCGAUACUACGGAAAGC